CUGCAGCCCGACUUAAGUGGAGCUCAUUUUUUUUAGCGUUGGAAAAAGCUCGGACAAAAAAUAGCGGGAACGGAAGGCGGAUAGGUC
rnacentral:misc_RNA from 1 species